rnacentral:rRNA from 1 species
GUACACAAAAGCGCAUGUGCUGUGAGCUCGAUGAGUAGGGCGGGACACGUGGUAUCCUGUCUGAAUAUGGGGGGACCAUCCUCCAAGGCUAAAUACUCCUGACUGACCGAUAGUGAACCAGUACCGUGAGGGAAAGGCGAAAAGAACCCCGGCGAGGGGAGUGAAAAAGAACCUGAAACCGUGUACGUACAAGCAGUGGGAGCCCCACCACUAAGCCAGUGGUGAACUCCACAUACGCAUCCUUUGCUGAAGGUGCGGUUAACGGAGCGCAAGCGACGCCCAACACACAAAACAAGCGGUGAGUGCUUUGGGGUGGGGUGACUGCGUACCUUUUGUAUAAUGGGUCAGCGACUUAUAUUCUGUAGCAAGGUUAACCGUAUAGGGGAGCCGGAGGGAA